rnacentral:rRNA from 1 species
UACAGAGGGUGCGAGCGUUGUUCGGAAUUAUUGGGCGUAAAGGGCGCGUAGGCGGCCUGACAAGUGGAAGGUGAAAUCCCUCGGCUUAACCGAGGAACUGCCCUCCAAACUGUUUGGCUUGAGACCGGGAGAGGUGAGUGGAAUUUCCAGUGGAGCGGUGAAAUGCGUAGAUAUUGGAAAGAACUCCGAUGGCGAAGGCACUCUACUGGGCUAUUACUGACACUCAGAGACGAAAAGCUAGGGGAGCAAAUGGG